rnacentral:rRNA from 1 species
CCCCCACACUGGUACUGAGACACGGACCAGACUCCUACGGGAGGCAGCAGUGAGGAAUAUUGGUCAAUGGGCGAAAGCCUGAACCAGCCAUGCCGCGUGAAGGAUGACGGCCCUAUGGGUUGUAAACUUCUUUUAUACGGGAAGAAACCUCUCUACGUGUAGAGGGUUGACGGUACCGUACGAAUAAGCAUCGGCUAACUCCGUGCCAGCAGCCGCGGUAAUACGGAGGAUGCAAGCGUUAUCCGGAUUCAUUGGGUUUAAGGGGUGCGCAGGCGGAGAAUUAAGUCAGUGGUGAAAUCCUGCAGCUUAACUGUAGAAUUGUCAUUGAUACUGGUUUUCUUGAAUGCAGUUGAGGUAGGCGGAAUGUGUAAUGUAGCGGUGAAAUGCUUAGAUAUUACCCAGAACACCGAUUGCGAAGGCAGCUUACUAAACUGUGAUUGACGCUGAGGCACGAAAGCGUGGGGAGCGAACAGGAUUAGAUACCCUGGUAGUCCACGCUGUAAACUAUGAUCACUCGUUGUUGGCAAUACAUCGUCAGCGACUGAGCGAAAGCAUUAAGUGAUCCACCUGGGGAGUACGAUCGCAAGAUUGAAACUCAAAGGAAUUGACGGGGGCCCGCACAAGCGGAGGAACAUGUGGUUUAAUUCGAUGAUACGCGAGGAACCUUACCUGGGCUUAAAUGCAUAACGACGGACCGGGAAACUGGUCUUUCUUCGGACGGCAUGCAAGGUGCUGCAUGGCUGUCGUCAGCUCGGGCCGUGAGGUGUCGGGUUAAGUCCCAUAACGAGCGCAACCCUUAUCAUUAGUUGCCAGCGGGUAAUGCCGGGGACUCUAAUGAAACUGCCGGUGUAAACCGAGAGGAAGGUGGGGAUGACGUCAAGUCAGCACGGCCCUUAUGUCCAGGGCUACACACGUGUUACAAUGGUCAGUACAGAGGGAAGCUACCAGGCGACUGGAUGCUAAUCUCAAAAACUGGUCUCAGUUCGGAUCGGAGUCUGCAACUCGACUUCGUGAAGUUGGAUUCGCUAGUAAUCGCGCAUCAGCCAUGGCGCGGUGAAUACGUUCCCGGGCCUUGUACACACCGCCCGUCAAGCCAUGGAAGC